rnacentral:rRNA from 1 species
AUUGAACGCUGGCGGCAGGCCUAACACAUGCAAGUCGAACGAGUGGCGGACGGGUGAGUAAUGUCUGGGAAACUGCCCGAUGGUGGGGGAUAACUACUGGAACCGGUAGCUAAUACCGCAUACCAUCGGAUGUGCCCAGAUGGGAUUAGCUAGUAGGUGGGGUAACGGCUCACCUAGGCGACGAUCCCUAGCUGGUCUGAGAGGAUGACCAGACAACAUGGAACUGAGCCACGGUCCAGACUCCUACGGGAGGUAGCAGGAGAGCAUGUUGCACAAUGGGCGCAAGCGUGAUACAGCGAUGCCUCGUGUAUGAAGAAGGGCUUCGGGUUGUAAAUUACUUUCAGCGAAGAGGCGUUGCUCGCAGAAGAAGCACCGGCUAACGCCGUGCCAGCAGCCGCGGUAAUAC